rnacentral:rRNA from 1 species
AGCGAACGCUGGCGGCAUGCUUUACACAUGCAAGUCGAACGGUAACAGGGUGCUUGCACCGCUGACGAGUGGCGAACGGGUGAGUAAUGCGUCGGAACGUGCCGAGUAGUGGGGGAUAACGCAUCGAAAGGUGUGCUAAUACCGCAUACGUACUGAGGUAGAAAGUGGGGGACCUUCGGGCCUCACGCUAUUCGAGCGGCCGACGUCUGAUUAGCGAGUUGGUGAGGUAAAGGCUCACCAAGGCGACGAUCAGUAGCGGGUCUGAGAGAAUGAUCCGCCACCCGGGGACUGAGACACGGCCCAGACUCCUACGGGAGGCAGCAGUGGGGAAUUUUGGACAAUGGGCGCAAGCCUGAUCCAGCCAUGCCGCGUGUCUGAAGAAGGCCUUCGGGUUGUAAAGGACUUUUGUCCGGGAGCAAAUACCCAGUGCUAAUAACGCUGGGGGCUGAGAGUACCGGAAGAAUAAGCACCGGCUAACUACGUGCCAGCCGCCGCAGUAAGAC